rnacentral:rRNA from 1 species
CCUACGGGUGGCAGCAGUGAGGAAUAUUGGUCAAUGGGCGCGAGCCUGAACCAGCCAAGUCGCGUGAGGGAAGACGGUCCUAUGGAUUGUAAACCUCUUUUGUCGGGGAGCAAAAGACGCCACUCGUGGCGUUCCGAGAGUACCCGAAGAAAAAGCAUCGGCUAACUCCGUACCAUCAGCCGCGGUAAUACGUGGGGUGCGAGCGUUAUCCGGAUUUAUUGGGGUUAACGGGUGAUCAGGCGGAAGAUCAAGUCAGCGGUAAACUUGAGAGGCUCAACCUCUUCGAGCCGUUGAAACUGGUUGUCUUGAGUGAGCGAGAGGUAUGCGGAAUGCGUGGUGUAGCGGUGAAAUGCAUAGAGAUCACGCAGAACUCCGAUUGCGAAGGCAGCAUACCGGCGCUCAACUGACGCUCAUGCACGAAAGUGUGGGUAUCGAACAGGAUUAGAUACCCCUGUAGUC